rnacentral:rRNA from 1 species
UACGUAGGGUGCAAGCGUUAAUCGGAAUUACUGGGCGUAAAGCGUGCGCAGGCGGUUGUGCAAGACCGAUGUGAAAUCCCCAGGCUUAACCUGGGAACUGCGUGUGAUACUGGAUGGCUUGAAUCCGGGAGAGGGAUGCGGAAUUCCAGGUGUAGCGGUGAAAUGCGUAGAUAUCUGGAGGAACACCGGUGGCGAAGGCGGCAUCCUGGACCGGUAUUGACGCUGAUGAGCGAAAGCCAGGGGAGCAAACGGG